CAAAAGAAGGCGCAACCCAAUUGCCAUGCGUGCAUUCUCAUAGCAGAAGUUGUGCUGCAACAAAUCAAACGAAAACCCCUUUUUCUCUUUCACCUUUACUAACUUUCGUUUUCAGCUACAAUCCCUAAUAUUCCCGUGUAUGUGGUGGAGCCAAGGAUUAAGGGUUUCAUCUUCUAUUUCUGCAUUCCUCUUCUGAUAUCUUCUCUUGAUUUCAUCAUCUGGUCUUCAGCUUUGAUCCACGUCAGAAUUCGUCAACUCCUUUGCCAAAAACUGUUGUUGCUACCAGCUCAAGGUAUAGCAUCGUAGGCUUUCGUCUUGCUUGGAAAAUUCUGCUAGUUUAGUUUUAAGCCUUUGAGAGUGAGUUAGAAUAGAAAAACUGUAAAAUGUGUUAUUUGCACUCUGCGAGUUGGCCUCCUGCAACAUGGGAAAUAUAUUGAUGAGUGUAAGACCCGAGGAUUUUAAUAUGUAAAAAAAAAAAAAAGGUUUGGUGGUUAUGUGUUGUGUGCUUGUUGGUGUGACCUUGUGUUCAAUCUAGCUGGGAGCAAAACUGGUGUUAUUUUUAAUUGCUGCGGUUUUAAAUUUUUUGGGGUAUAGACAGAGUCAGGAGGCUCAUUUUCCUUCUACUCUUCUAUUCUAUUUUCUCGUUUCUCUCUUCUCCCCUCUCUUUUCUCUUUUGUUUUCUUUUUUUUUAAAAACCAUAGAGGGACGAAAGUGAGGGUUGCGGCGUGAGUGAGAGUAAAGAGCAUUCCAUAAUCGUUUGAGAUGAAGGUGUGAGAAACACCGAGAGAGGGAGUGGUGGUAUAUCAGAGAGGAGAUGUUAGAAUUGGGAGACAAAGAUGGAAAGCGAAAGUAGGAUUUUGGAGUAAGGGAAGAAAUCGGAAAA
rnacentral:sRNA from 1 species